rnacentral:rRNA from 2 species
AGGAAUUGGCGGGGGAGCACCGCAACGGGAGGAGCGUGCGGUUUAAUUGGAUUCAACACCGGAAAACUCACCAAGGGAGACCAUCACAUGAAAGCCAGGCUAAUGACUUUGCUUGAUUCUUGGAGAAGUGGUGCAUGGCCAUCGUCAGUUCGUACUGUAAAGCGUUCUCUUAAGUGAGAUAACGAACAAGACCCUCACUUAUAAUUGCUACUCGUCUGUCCGCAGACGAGGCACAUUAUCGGGACCGCUGGCGCUAAGUCAGAGGAAGGAGAGGUCAACGGUAGGUCAGUAUGCCCUGAAUCUCUUGGGCUACACGCGCGCUACAAAGGGCGGGACAAUGGGUCCCUACACCGAAAGGUGGAGGCAAUCUCGAAACCCGUCCGUAGUUCGGACUGAGGGUUGUAACUCACCCUCACGAAGCUGGAUUCCGUAGUAAUCGCGAAUCAACAACUCGCGGUGAAUAUGCCCCUGCUCCUUGCACACACCGC